UGUUGGUUCUCCCGCAACGCUACUCUGUUUACCAGGUCAGGUCCGGAAGGAAGCAGCCAAGGCGGAUGACGUGUGUGCCGGGAUGUAGCUGGCAGGG
rnacentral:SRP_RNA from 2 species